rnacentral:rRNA from 1 species
GUCGAGAAUCUUCCGCAAUGGGCGCAAGCCUGACGGAGCGAUGCCGCGUGAGGGAUGAAGGCCUUCGGGUUGUAAACCUCUGUCGCCCGGGACGAAACAAAUGACGGUACCGGGAGAGGAAGCUACGGCUAACUACGUGCCAGCAGCCGCGGUAAUACGUAGGUAGCAAGCGUUAUUCGGAUUUACUGGGCGUAAAGGGUCCGCAGGGGGCCUGUCAAGUCUGAUGUGAAAUGCCACGGCUCAACCGUGGAACGGCAUUGGAAACUGACGGGCUAGAGUGCAUGAGGGGUGAGCAGAAUUCCUGGUGUAGCGGUGGAAUGCGUAGAUAUCAGGAGGAAUACCGACGGCGAAGGCGGCUCACUGGCGUGCAACUGACCCUCAGGGACGAAAGCGUGGGUAGCAAACAGGAUUAGAAACCCCUGUAGUCC